rnacentral:rRNA from 1 species
GUUUGAUCCUGGCUCAGGAUGAACGCUAGCUACAGGCUUAACACAUGCAAGUCGAGGGGAAACGAUAUUGAAAGCUUGCUUUCGAUAGGCGUCGACCGGCGCACGGGUGAGUAACGCGUAUCCAACCUGCCCAUAACUAAGGGAUAAUCCGUAGAAAUGCGGUCUAAUACCUUAUGUGAUCCGAGGAAGACAUCUGAUUUGGAUUAAAGAUUUAUCGGUUAUGGAUGGGGAUGCGUCUGAUUAGAUUGUUGGCGGGGCAACGGCCCACCAAGUCUGCGAUCAGUAGGGGUUCUGAGAGGAAGGUCCCCCACAUUGGAACUGAGACACGGUCCAAACUCCUACGGGAGGCAGCAGUGAGGAAUAUUGGUCAAUGGGCGGGAGNNUGAACCAGCCAAGUAGCGUGCAGGAUGACGGCCCUAUGGGUUGUAAACUGCUUUUGUAUGGGGAUAAAUUGCUCCACGUGUGG